UGGCUCAGUGGUAAAGAAUCUGUCUGCAAUACAGAAGACCCAGGUUCAAUCUCUGG
rnacentral:tRNA from 1 species